GAUGAACGCUGGCGGCGUGCCUAAUACAUGCAAGUCGAGCGAACGGACGAGAAGCUUGCUUCUCUGAUGUUAGCGGCGGACGGGUGAGUAACACGUGGAUAACCUACCUAUAAGACUGGGAUAACUUCGGGAAACCGGAGCUAAUACCGGAUAAUAUUUUGAACCGCAUGGUUCAAAAGUGAAAGACGGUCUUGCUGUCACUUAUAGAUGGAUCCGCGCUGCAUUAGCUAGUUGGUAAGGUAACGGCUUACCAAGGCAACGAUGCGUAGCCGACCUGAGAGGGUGAUCGGCCACACUGGAACUGAGACACGGUCCAGACUCCUACGGGAGGCAGCAGUAGGGAAUCUUCCGCAAUGGGCGAAAGCCUGACGGAGCAACGCCGCGUGAGUGAUGAAGGUCUUCGGAUCGUAAAACUCUGUUAUUAGGGAAGAACAUAUGUGUAAGUAACUGUGCACGUCUUGACGGUACCUAAUCAGAAAGCCACGGCUAACUACGUG
rnacentral:rRNA from 1 species